rfam:Ajellomyces capsulatus NAm1 scaffold_3 genomic scaffold, whole genome shotgun sequence.
GGCACUAUGGCGGAGUGGUUAACGCGAUGCCCUGCUAUUUUAAAUCCCAAAUCGCAGAAAAUUAUUAAUUAGUUAAGGCAUUUCCUUCGGGAGCGCAGGUUCGAAUCCUGCUGGUGUCG